AGUGAACGCUGGCGGUAGGCCUAACACAUGCAAGUCGAACGGCAGCACAGUAAGAGCUUGCUCUUACGGGUGGCGAGUGGCGGACGGGUGAGGAAUACAUCGGAAUCUACUUUUUCGUGGGGGAUAACGUAGGGAAACUUACGCUAAUACCGCAUACGACCUACGGGUGAAAGCAGGGGAUCUUCGGACCUUGCGCGAUUGAAUGAGCCGAUGUCGGAUUAGCUAGUUGGCGGGGUAAAGGCCCACCAAGGCGACAAUCCGUAGCUGGUCUGAGAGGAUGAUCAGCCACACUGGAACUGAGACACGGUCCAGACUCCUAAGGGAGGCAGCAGUGGGGAAUAUUGGACAAUGGGCGCAAGCCUGAUCCAGCCAUACCGCGUGGGUGAAGAAGGCCUUCGGGUUGUAAAGCCCUUUUGUUGGGAAAGAAAAGCAGCAGGUUAAUACCCCGCUGUUCUGACGGUACCCAAAGAAUAAGCACCGGCUAACUUCGUG
rnacentral:rRNA from 1 species